rnacentral:rRNA from 1 species
GAAUUUUGGGCAAUGGGCGAAAGCCUGACCCAGCAACGCCGCGUGAGGGGUGAAGGCCUUCGGGUCGUAAACCUCUGUCGGGAGGGAAGAACGACCGCCGGGUAAACAAUCCGGUGGUCUGACGGUACCUCCAAAGGAAGCGCCGGCUACCUCCGUGCCAGCAGCCGCGGUAAUACGGAGGGCGCAAGCGUUGUUCGGAAUCACUGGGCGUAAAGCGCGUGUAGGCGGCUUGGUAAGUCGGGUGUGAAAUCCCGGGGCCCAACCCCGGAACUGCAUUCGAAACUGCCUCGCUGGAGUCCCGGAGAGGAAGGCGGAAAUCUCGGUGUAGAGGUGAAAUUCGUAGAUAUCGGGAGGAACACCAGUGGCGGAGGCGGCCUUCUGGACGGUGACUGACGCUGAGACGCGAAAGCGUGGGGAGCAAACAGG